GACGAACGCUGGCGGCGUGCUUUAUACAUGCAAGUCGAACGAUGAAGUUCCUUCGGGAAUGGAUUAGUGGCGAACGGGUGAGGAACACGUGAGAAACCUGCCUUUCAUUCUGGGAUAACACCGGGAAACCGGUGCUAAUACCGGAUACUCCGUCUUGGCGGCAUCGCCGAGCCGGGAAAAAAUUUUGAUGAAAGAUGGUCUCGCGGCCUAUCAGCUAGUUGGUGAGGUAAAGGCUCACCAAGGCGACGACGGGUAGCCGGCCUGAGAGGGCGACCGGCCACACUGGGACUGAGACACGGCCCAGACUCCUACGGGAGGCAGCAGUAGGGAAUAUUGGGCAAUGGGCGCAAGCCUGACCCAGCGACGCCGCGUGAGGGAUGAAGGUCUUCGGAUUGUAAACCUCUUUCAGUAGGGAAGAAGCGAAAGUGACGGUACCUAAAGAAGAAGCACCGGCUAACUAUGUGCCAGCCGCCGCUGUAAUAC
rnacentral:rRNA from 1 species